rnacentral:tRNA from 1 species
GGGCCUGUAGCUCAGUAGUAGAGCGGCGCCUUUGCAAGGCGAAGGUCAGGGGUGCGAAUCCCCUCAGGUCCA